rnacentral:rRNA from 1 species
AUUGAACGCUGGCGGCAGGCCUAACACAUGCAAGUCGAACGGUAACAGAAAGCAGCUUGCUGCUUUGCUGACGAGUGGCGGACGGGUGAGUAAUGUCUGGGAAACUGCCUGAUGGAGGGGGAUAACUACUGGAAACGGUAGCUAAUACCGCAUAACGUCGCAAGACCAAAGAGGGGGACCUUCGGGCCUCUUGCCAUCGGAUGUGCCCAGAUGGGAUUAGCUAGUAGGUGGGGUAACGGCUCACCUAGGCGACGAUCCCUAGCUGGUCUGAGAGGAUGACCAGCCACACUGGAACUGAGACACGGUCCAGACUCCUACGGGAGGCAGCAGUGGGGAAUAUUGCACAAUGGGCGCAAGCCUGAUGCAGCCAUGCCGCGUGUAUGAAGAAGGCCUUCGGGUUGUAAAGUACUUUCAGCGGGGAGGAAGGGAGUAAAGUUAAUACCUUUGCUCAUUGACGUUACCCGCAGAAGAAGCACCGGCCAACUCCGUG